GGGGCAUGUAGCUCAGUGGGAGAGUGCUUGCUUUGCAUGCAAGAGGCCCUGGGAUCAACCCCCAGCAUCUCCA